UACAGAGGUCCCAAGCGUUGUUCGGAUUCAUUGGGCGUAAAGGGUGUGUAGGUGGCGCCGUAAGUCGGGUGUGAAAUCUCGGGGCUCAACCCCGAAACUGCACUUGAUACUGCUUCGCUAGAGUAUUGGAGAGGAGAUUGGAAUUUACGGUGUAGCAGUGAAAUGCGUAGAGAUCGUAAGGAAGACCAGUGGCGAAGGCGGGUCUCUGGACAGUUCCUGACACUGAGGCACGAAGGCCAGGGGAGCAAACGGG
rnacentral:rRNA from 1 species